GACGAACGCUGGCGGCGUGCCUAAUACAUGCAAGUAGAACGCAGAGGGCGGCUUUUCCUUCUCGGGUGGAGUUGCGAACGGGUGAGAAACGCGUGGGUAACCUGCCUGGUAGGGGGGGAUAAUUAUUGGAAACGAGGGCUAAUACCGCAUAUGAGUAAUUGUUGCAUAACAUUGGCUCAAAAGGUGCAAUUGCUUCACUACCAGUUGGACCUGCGUUGUAUUCGCUAGUUGGUGGGGUAAGGGUUCACCAAGGCGACGAUACAUAGCCGACCGGAGAGGGUGAUCGGCGACACUGGGACUGAGACACGGCCCAGACUCCUACGGGAGGCAGCAGUAGGGAGUCGUCGGCAAUGGACGGAAGUCUGACCGAGCAACGCCGCGUGAGUGAAGAAGGUUGUCGGAUCGUAAAGCUCUGUCGUAAGAGAAGAACGAGUGUGAGAGUGGAAAGUUCACACUGUGACGGUAUCUUACCAGAAAGGGACGGCUAACUACGUG
rnacentral:rRNA from 1 species